AGAAAUGUUAUGAAUGAGAGCACAUAUAUGAUGGUGUUGGUGGGGAAGUAGAUGUAUAGAUGGAGUGAGUAGAGUAAUUUUGUGUUCAGUUUCUAUGUAAGUGAGUGAAAUUUCACUACCAUGAAACUGUUUUGGAAAAAGUCCCAUAUGUGAAGUGGUUUUCCAGAUUUGAUGGGAGGAAGAAGGGAUAUGAAUCCCCAGAUGUUUAUGCCCAGAAAACCUCUGCAGCUUUAGAAAUGGAAUGAAGAUUCUCUGUGGGUGCCUUAUUAUAUUUCCUCUUGUAAGGAAACAACAGUUAGCAACAAGCUCUAUAUCUGCUGCUCUAAUGCAGAUCCCCGAGAAAUGCUUGCUCUCAUCUUCCAGAGGGAAAGAACUGGUUAAAAAGAAAAGCAUCACAUUAAUUCUGACAUCUUUUCAGUUAGAGAGCGGGAACACGUCACAGGGAAAGAGUGAACAUGUUAAAGUGAUAUUAAUGCAGAUUGCAUGAUAAGCCUCGUUCUGAAGAGCAUCCUUCUGCCGGUGCAUUGCAGGAGAAGAGUACUUCCCCGCCAUUUGAGCUGGAUUGGAGCAUCUGUGUAGAGUAGAGAGAGUUAAAUGAAAUGCAGCACUAAAGCAGGGCUGUAGGUUCUCCAUUGUUGUAUUUUGAAAUGUGGGUUCUCUUGGUUAAUGCUUGCCAAUGAAAUGCUGGCAGAAAACCGAAGAAAUGGCUUCAGAUGAAUUCAUAUGCAGACUGUAUUCUGUUUCCUUGAACAUUGGUAGGAAGACCUGCUUGCCUUAAAUUAUGUUUGCGCAUUUGGCAUAUGGGAUUUAUCUCUGUAUGUGACAGGAUCUUUUAUUUGAAUCAAAUUGUCAUUGGAAUAAUUAAUCAUGUUUAGCUGUGCUGAUGAGAAAGGUGAUUAUUUGUUAAUAAAGAGUAAAUUUGUAGCAUGCCCUUUUAAUUUACAGUAAAUUAUGGUUGUCAGCAAUAGAGGCGUUUGAAAGAUAUUAUUCAUAUAUUGAUCUUGUUCAAGGAAACCAGUUCCACUCAGAUGCAUGAUUUUCUUCCAGGGUUGCCUUCUAAAAUUAAAACUUGAAAAUGCCUGUUGCAAAUGCAAAAGGUUGAAAGCAAAUGGUAGGUUGCAUCUUUACUGGCUUGUUUGAAUCUGUUUAAAAUUGCAUUAUUUACAUUUAAUGUC